UACAGAGGGUGCGAGCGUUAAUCGGAAUUACUGGGCGUAAAGGGCGCGUAGGUGGGAGUCUAAGUCAGAUGUGAAAGCCCUGGGCUCAACCUAGGAACUGCAUUUGAUACUGGACUGUCUAGAGUGAGGUAGAGGGUGGCGGAAUUCCCGGUGUAGCGGUGAAAUGCGUAGAUAUCGGGAAGAACACCAGUGGCGAAGGCGGCCACCUGGACCUCAACUGACACUGAGGCGCGAAAGCGUGGGUAGCGAACAGG
rnacentral:rRNA from 1 species